UUCUUAGGAAAAGAGGUCGGC
rnacentral:miRNA from 1 species